rnacentral:rRNA from 1 species
GACGGAGGGUGCAAGCGUUGUUCGGAAUUACUGGGCGUAAAGGGGGCGUAGGCGGUCUGUUAAGUUCGGCGUGAAAGCCCUCGGCUUACCCGGGGAACUGCGCCGGAAACCGACAGACUCGAGUACCGGAGAGGAGGGUGGAAUUCCUGGUGUAGCGGUGAAAUGCGUAGAUAUCAGGAGGAACACCGGUGGCGAAGGCGGCCCUCUGGACGGAUACUGACGCUGAGGCGCGAAAGCGUGGGGAGCGAACAGG